GACGAACGCUGGCGGCGUGCUUAACACAUGCCAGUCGAACGGAAAGGCCCCUUUGGGGGUACUCGAGUGGCGAACGGGUGAGUAACACGUGAGUAACCUGCCCUUGACUUCGGGAUAACUUCAGGAAACUGGGGCUAAUACCGGAUAGGAAUCCUUGCUGCAUGGUGGGGGUUGGAAAGCUUCGGCGGUUUUGGAUGGACUCGCGGCUUAUCAGCUUGUUGGUGGGGUAGUGGCUUACCAAGGCUUUGACGGGUAGCCGGCCUGAGAGGGCGACCGGCCACAUUGGGACUGAGAUACGGCCCAGACUCCUACGGGAGGCAGCAGUGGGGAAGAGUGCACAAUGGGCGGAAGCCUGAUGCAGCAACGCCGCGUGCGGGAUGACGGCCUUCGGGUUGGAAACCGCGUUCAGCAGGGGCGAAGCUUGUGGUGACGGUACCUGCAGAAGAAGCACCGGCUAACUACGUG
rnacentral:rRNA from 1 species